CUGGAAUCCGCGGCGGCUGUUGGCCGUUAGUGCGGUUUGGCGGUUGUCUUGGAGAAGCAAGAUGGCGGCCACGGCGACCGCGGUGGUGGCGGAGGAGGACACGGAGUUGCGGGACCUGCUGGUGCAGACGCUGGAGAACAGCGGGGUUCUCAACCGGAUCAAGGCUGAACUACGAGCAGCUGUGUUUCUAGCACUAGAGGAGCAAGAAAAAGUAGAGAACAAAACUCCUUUAGUCAACGAGAGCCUGAAGAAGUUUUUAAAUACGAAAGAUGGUCGUUUAGUGGCUAGUCUCGUUGCAGAAUUUCUUCAGUUUUUCAACCUUGACUUUACCUUGGCUGUUUUUCAACCUGAAACUAGCACACUUCAGGGUCUUGAAGGUCGAGAGAAUUUAGCCCGAGAUUUAGGUAUUAUUGAAGCAGAAGGUACUGUGGGUGGACCCUUGUUAUUAGAAGUGAUUAGACGCUGUCAGCAAAAAGAAAAAGGACCAACCAGCGGGGAAGGUGCACUAGAUCUAUCUGAUGUACAUUCACCACCAAAAUCGCCAGAAGGAAAAACAAGUUCCCAUACAAUUCCAAGUAAGAUACCAAGGUAUAAAGGACAAGGUAAAAAGAAGAAAAGCGAGGAGAAGUCUGGUGCAAAGAAGUCCAGUGAAACUAGUCAGAGUGACACGAGUACCUCCUCAUCAGAACAAAAGAGCAAAAACAGUCUCCACUUACUGGCCCAUGAGACAAAAGCUGGAUCUUUCUUAAGCAACAAAUCUUUAGAUGGCAAAGACAAAGCUGGCCUUCGUCCAGAUGAAGAUGAUGUGGAAGGAGAUUCUUUCUUUGAUGAUCCCAUUCCUAAACCAGAAAAAACUUACGGUUGGAGAAGUGAACCCAGCAAGCAGCGGGGAGGUCUGGCGUCACUCUCAGACGCGCCGCCCCUGAAGAGUGGGCUCAGCUCCCUGGCAGGAGCCCCGUCAUUAAAAGACUCGGAAAGUAAAAGAGGAAAUGCAGUUUUGAAAGAGCUGAAAUUGGUCAGUGAUAAGAUUGGAUCACUUGGAUUAGACCCGUGUGACAGUUGUAUCCAGGCCCACUUCCUCAGCCCAGGCUGACCAUCGUCUCUGGGGGCCGUGAAGUGUAUUGUGGUGCAGCAGUGGGUUCUCCCUGAUCUCGGUGUGUUCAGAGCAGCAGCGAGCAGGACCUCACAAGCAGAGGCAGCAGGAGGCUGCACCCCCAUUCUCUGGAGUGUCUCAGUGCAGGCACGCGCGUGGAGCGUGCGGGCUGGCGGCCCAGAGCAGUGCCUGCACCCUCUGCUGGAGGGCGUUCUGGGUGGGGAACAUGGGCCUGGGCGUUAGGCAGAUGAAGCUCAAGUUCCAGAUGUGGCACUAACCCAGGAGGAAGGUGGGGAGCUGACCUGAGCUCUGUCCGCAUCUGUGAAGUGGAGCUAAUGAUGCCUACCUCGUUUUAAAGACUGUGUAGAAUUUAAAUAAAUACACACCUGAACGUACAAGUGCAGUGCCUGGCGUGAUCGGUGCCCGUAAACGUUAGUUUCCUGUUUAUGUUGCUUUGUUCCGGUUUGCAGCAUUUGCAGAAGAAGAGAUGCUCUACUGAGCUGCAGGACCCCAGCCGCUGCGGUGCGGUGCCGCAGGCUGGUGACUGCCUGUGCAGCUGGCGCACCUUGCUGGCUGCCUGGGUUAGGUGGGCCUGCCCCCUCCCCGUGCCUGUCUCUGUGACUUUCACCGACACCUCAGCGAGAUGUUCUUGUCCACAGCCCACUGUAAACCUGCUUCUUGUUCUCACCAGGGGCCACCGGGAGACAUUUAGACCUCGGAGUUCUGGGGUCGGCCCUUGUUCCUUAGCAGUUUGUGUUUUGUGUCCCUCUGUUGCCACACCGUUUAGCUUCUCUCUGAGUGCCCUGUUCUGCCUCAGGGCAAGGGCCUCCCCAGCCUGUUGCUAAGACUCCUCCUCCCUGGUGGGGAUGUGAUGGCUGCUGGCUCCGGUGAGAGUGGAGAGGUGCUGUACUGCGUCACGCCCCUCCUGCUGGCCGCCCGGGCAAGCCUGGGUUGGGAGUUUUAGUAGUUAAACAGCUCAGACUAACCGAUCCACUAGCCAAUCUAUUUGAUCAUUUUGCGAAAUAAAGUUUUAUUUAGUUUUGUCUGAUGGUAUUACAACAGUGUCGUUUUCUGUUUUUCCAUUAUAAAUAUAUAGUACCAUAGGUGUGUUAGUUGAGCCCUGGUGGUGCAACGGUUAUGCUAACUGAAAGCCCACCCAGUGGCACUGUGGGAAAAAGACCUGGCACUCUGCUCCCGUGAAGAUUACAGCCUAGAAAACCCUACAGGGUAGUUCUACUCUGUAAUAUAGCGGGUGGCUAUGGGUCGGAAUCUCCUCGAUGGCACCCAAUACCGGGUGUAUUAGGUAAUGUGUAAAUGUCAGUGGAUAACCUGGGAUGAUGCUAGUGAUACAUGCCUGCACAGUACCGAGAACUUACUUCAUUCUUAUCCUGAGGUAGCUGGUAUUAUUAUCUCCAUUUCUACAGAUGAAGAGCCUAGCUUGAGCAGCGUACCUAUGACCGUCAGCUUUGAGAAUCCUGGUACGUCACCAAAGCUGAUGCUGUUAACCACUGUGUUUUACGGCCACACAUUAUGUAGACAUUUAAAUAUCGUUAAACUGGGAAAUGAGUUUGGUGCUCCAAAGGAACAGUUUACAAACAAAGCUUUGUAAACUGUAAGAGGCUGAUUUUGGUUUUGGUAUGGUUUCUAUCGUUAGUCAGAGGCAGCCAGAUGAAAUGCUUGUGGACAGAUCAUCAAGUGUGUAAAGCAGGGGCACCAGGCCUUCUAUAAGGGGCCAAACAGUAGGUACUUUAGGCAUUGUGGGCCACAGAUGGCCUCUGUCUCAUACUCUUGGUUUUCUUACAAUCCUGUAAACAUAUAAAAUCCAUUCAUAGCUCCCAGGCCAUACAAAAACAUGCCGUGGGCUGUAGUUUGCCCACCCCUGAUUUACAGUGAUACAUAGUCUGUUAAAACCCACUGACUUGUUAAGGUGAGGUAAUGCUAUCUGUGCCAUAACCAGAAGGUCAGAAUCGAAUCCUAGGUUCUAGCAUGUUUUUCAGGAAAUACUUAGUGCUUUGAGUAUGACUGCACGUGCUGGAGGGUAGAGAUGCAUUUAGCUUGCCCUAAAUCUAAGCUCCAGCCACAGCUGCUCCAUUGCUUGGGCUGGAUGCUCACUUUUGCCAUCUGCAUUGGGUCUCACAUGGGGCCUGAUGGUGGGUCCCAGGUGCCUGUCUGCAAUGGGUCUUACACGGGGCCUGAUGGUGGGCCCCGGGCGCCUAUCGGCAUUGGGUCUCACACGGGCCCAGUGGUUGGUCCUGUGCACCUGUCGGCAUUGGGUCUCGCACGGGGGCCCAAGGGUGGGUCCCGGGUGGCUGUCUCAGCUUUGGCAGCUACGCCUAUAAGUCUUCCAUGGCACUGGCAAGGAACCUACUGUGGGGGUUCCUUCAGUCAGAAAAGUGCUAACCUCACUCUUCUUGUUCUCUGACUGACUGUUCCUCCUUUUUCAAGAGUGUUCUGCAGCCCCUUAACCUAUGAGGCCACGGCUCACCUGGCUACUAGUGGAGGUGGGCUCUUACUCGAACAGGUACAGCAUCAGUACCUGGCUGGGAGGAAAACGAGGAGAAAGCCAUCUGGGAACUGGGCCUUACUCACCGUGACCACUCGCCGGUGACUGCUGGGGACUCCUGACCACUCAUGGUGACUGCUGGGGACUCCUCACCACUCACUGGUGACCGCUGGGGACUCCUGACCACUUACUGGUGACCGCUGGGCACUCCUGACCACUCCCUGGUGACCGCUGGGGAUUCAUGACCACUCACUGGUGACCGAUGGGGACUCCUGACCACUCGCUGGGGACUCCUGGGGACUCCUGACCACACACUGGUGACUCCUGGGGACUCCUGACCACUCCCUGCUGACUGCUGGGGACUCCUGACCACUCACUGGUGACCUUUGGGGACCCCUGACCACUCACUGGUGACCUUUGGGGACUCCUGACCACUCACUGGUGACCAUCUGGGACUCCUGACCACACACUGGUGACCGUUGUGGACUCCUGACCACUCAAGGGGACUGUCAGGGUCUCCUGAUGAGCUGUCCAUGAGGGUGUGGGCCUAGCAACAGUUGUGACUUUUGUCUUCUUCAUAUUCUGAUACCCUGUCUUCCCCACCCCAUGGAAUGAUUGUCUUAUCUGUAGGACACUUGGUCCAGCCUCACUGCCUCCACCCUAGCCCUUGCCCUGUCCUCUCUAGCCUGGACUUCUGCAGUAGCCUUCUCUGUUCUUUACUUGCAUCUUGGCUCUGAACACAUGGUUCUUAUAGCAAUCAGAGUGCCUGUGGAAAAACAGAAACCAGACACCACAUCCCGUUCUCUUUCACUGCUCGCCUAACACAUCCCCCGCCCCCCCCGCCACCAUUAUUUCCACUCACCAGGGAGUGGUCAGGAGUCCUCAGCAGUUACUAGUGAGUGGUCAGGAGUCCCAGCGGUCACCAUUUUAAGGAUUUGGGCUGAAAUCCUUACUUUGACCUACAAGAGCCUAAAUGAGCUGGCCUGCAGGCCCUUUUGGUGCCCCUCCCCGCUCAUCAUUCAGUGAUUCUCCACACAACCAGCCCUCUCAUCUCAGGCCUUGGUGCGCGUAUCGCAGCUUGGAACACAACUGCCCUGUGGUUUGUACUUCUGUGCUGUCACCUCCGCAGGUCCUUUGCAGUCAUCCUGUAGCACUUGGCUUGUUUAGUGUCAGGCCCUGAGGUCAGCAAGGUCAUCUGGUUUAUAGCUCUGUCCCCAGGGACUGCUCUCAGCGCCUGGCACCUAGUGGUCUCAUGUUGAUAAAUGAAUGCAGUAAUUCUGAUGCCAUUUUAUCAUAAGAGAACCACCUUCUCUAACUGCCUGUCCAGAACUUGAAUCCCUUCAACAAUGUACCUGACCUGAGAGUAAGGCCAGUCUUCAUUUUGAGGGAUGUGAGGGCCAGCGCCAGCGGCAUCUCCAACAGCUGGCUACCGAGCCCAGAUUUCUCUUGGCGACCUGGAUUCGUCCCCUCGUGCCCAGACGUAGGCAUUGUGUGUCUGUUGCAUGUCGUUUGCUUGCAGCUUAAGAUGGCUGUCACGUGCCUCUAAGUCUUUCUCUUGAGGCUGACAACCUGUUUCCCUCAGCCAGCCCUCAGAAGACAUGGGGGAUGAAGCAUAGUAUGAGCCUGUCCUCUGUAGCCUGAAGCAGGUGGUAAAGGCGUCCACUGGCAGAGCCUCACGUGCACACGGCCCACUCGUAGAAGCUGGUAGCGCUGGUCCCUGGCCUUAUCCUGCAGCCUUUUAUCAAGAGCGUCCUGUGCACUGAGGGACUGCAGAGGAAGAUGACUAUGUCGAUGAUUUUAAUAGUGCCAGCCAUCGCUCAGAAAAAAGUGAGAUGAGCAUUGGUGAGGAGAUGGAAGAAG